UAAUACGGAGGGUGCAAGCGUUAAUCGGAAUUACUGGGCGUAAAGCGCACGCAGGCGGUUUGUUAAGUCAGAUGUGAAAUCCCCGAGCUUAACUUGGGAACUGCAUUUGAAACUGGCAAGCUAGAGUCUUGUAGAGGGGGGUAGAAUUCCAGGUGUAGCGGUGAAAUGCGUAGAGAUCUGGAGGAAUACCGGUGGCGAAGGCGGCCCCCUGGACAAAGACUGACGCUCAGGUGCGAAAGCGUGGGGAGCAAACAGGAUUAGAUACCCUGGUAGUCCACGCUGUAAACUAUGUCGACUUGGAGGUUGUGCCCUUGAGGCGUGGCUUCCGGAGCUAACGCGUUAAGUCGACCGCCUGGGGAGUACGGCCGCAAGGUUAAA
rnacentral:rRNA from 1 species